AGCAAUCCUGGUGGCGAGUGGCGAACGGGUGAGUAAUAUAUCGGAACGUGCCCAGUCUGGGGGAUAACGUAGCGAAAGCUACGCUAAUACCGCAUACGAUCUAUGGAUGAAANCGGGGGAUCGCAAGACCUCGCGCGAUUGGAGCGGCCGAUAUCAGAUUAGGGUAGUUGGGUGAGGUAAAGGCUCACCAAGCCGACGAUCUGUAGCUGGUCUGAGAGGACGACCAGCCACACUGGGACUGAGACACGGCCCAGACUCCUACGGGAGGCAGCAGUGGGGAAUUUUGGACAAUGGGCGCAAGCCUGAUCCAGCAAUGCCGCGUGCAGGAUGAAGGCCUUCGGGUUGUAAACUGCUUUGUACGGAACGAAACGGUGAGCUCUAAUACAGUUUGCUAAUGACGGUACCGUAAGAAUAAGCACCGGCUAACUACGUG
rnacentral:rRNA from 1 species